rnacentral:rRNA from 1 species
GACGAACGCUGGCGGCGUGCCUAAUACAUGCAAGUAGAACGCACAGUUUAUACCGUAGCUUGCUACACCAUAGACUGUGAGUUGCGAACGGGUGAGUAACGCGUAGGUAACCUGCCUGGUAGCGGGGGAUAACUAUUGGAAACGAUAGCUAAUACCGCAUAAUAUUGAUUAUUGCAUGUUAAUUGAUUGAAAGAUGCUAUUGCAUCACUACCAGAUGGACCUGCGUUGUAUUAGCUAGUAGGUGAGGUAACGGCUCACCUAGGCGACGAUACAUAGCCGACCUGAGAGGGUGAUCGGCCACACUGGGACUGAGACACGGCCCAGACUCCUACGGGAGGCAGCAGUAGGGAAUCUUCGGCAAUGGACGAAAGUCUGACCGAGCAACGCCGCGUGAGUGAAGAAGGUUUUCGGAUCGUAAAGCUCUGUUGUAAGAGAAGAACGGGUGUGAGAGUGGAAAGUUCACACUGUGACGGUAUCUUACCAGAAAGGGACGGCUAACUACGUG